UUUUUAUUUAAAAAUUUAUGAUUUUAAUUAAUUAAAUUGCAUAUAAGUUACUAUACAUAUAACCACCCGAUAGGACCACAUUACCAUGGUGAUGGCAUAGACCAAUUAUCGUCACUAAAUAACGUAGAUGUGUAUAUACAUAUAUAGUCAAUACAUAUGCGUAAGGUAAGCUAAUUGAUAAGCAAUUCAAAUGAUAUUGGUAAUUAAAUAUGUAUAUGUAUAUAUAUAUAUAGAUCUCCUCACAGCUCAGACAACCUGGAAUGCAUCUGCCCAAUUAAAAUGUUCACGAAGGUGCCCACAACAAAACCAUUUUAAGGAAUUGACAU
rnacentral:lncRNA from 1 species